AGAGGGGUGAAGGCAGAAAUCUGGUGAAGGUAACAGUGAAGAGGCAAACAGGGAUAUUACAGACAGAACCUGGAGGAAAGAAGAAAUUGGAACCCAUCAGAGUAACUAGCAUCUGGAGGAGUGGGAGAGCAUGGACAUAGGGAAGGAAUUCCAAAGCAAAUGAAGACAAUAGAGUCAACAAAGGAAGCUCAUUUUACAGAUGAGGAAAUAAGGCAAAC